rnacentral:rRNA from 1 species
CACGUAAGGGACGAGCGUUGUCCGGAUUCAUUGGGCGUAAAGAGCGUGUAGGCGGCCAGAUAAGUCCGCUGUGAAAUCUCGAGGCUCAACUUCGAGCUGUCGGUGGAAACUAUCUGGCUAGAGUCCGGAAGAGGAGAAUGGAAUUCCUGGUGUAGCGGUGAAAUGCGCAGAUAUCAGGAAGAACACCCGUGGCGAAGGCGGUUCUCUGGGACGGUACUGACGCUGAGACGCGAAAGCGUGGGGAGCGAACAGG